CACGAGCGCACCUCUUACACCGCCUGCCCGUUUAGCUGUUUACAGCAGGGGUGCGGCAUCCCUCACGGAGCCAUUAGCACAAUCUGCAAACCGAGCAUAAUGAAAGUUACAGAGGUUUGACUUUACAAGAAGGGUUUACAGCAGCUUCCCGUCAGCUCUUUUUCA